UUCUACUGCAAAGCUUAUUUCAGAUGCCAACGUUGCAAGGUUAUAAUUCAGGUGACUUUCCAGUCUCCACCAUGAGAGUACCUUACUGCUGCAAGGUUAUUUCCUCCAAGCUUAUUUCCUUCAAGGUUAAUUCAACAUUAGUACCUUACUAGUAUUUAUUCUAAAAAAGAAUCUUCGUUUUCUGAUAAUAGUAAGGUACUUUUGUUUCUUGUUUGAACUGUCUUGUGUCUUCAUACCCUUAGAUUGUUACCCCGGAUUAUUGUCCUUACUCUGCUCUGUCAGGUGUCAUGGUCUUUGUGGACUUAUUGACUUUAUGUGAUCGAAUACCAGAAAGAAUAGGAUUUGUUUGCUUGAGAAAUCUGGUGUCUUGUGCAGAAUUUUGCUUCAUUGCGUGGUUUGAUGCACCGAUUGGCUACUCAUGGUCUUCGCCAUUGGAUAUGGAAAAUAUACUUUUCUGCAGUUCUCAAUUUCGAUUUCUGUGGAUUGUGGAUUGAACGUCGGUAACAAUACUCCAAAACAGUCGAGGGAAAAAAACUGUGAGUAAGACAAUUAAAGAUCUCAGACAAAAUCAAGGGUUUAAUACAACUAUUGCAACAUCAUAGGUGAAAUAUGACAUGCAGAGCUUUUGGAGUUCGAGUUGAAGAGCUUAGCUGCACCAGGGAUGAUCAUGGAGCAUUCCACGCCCAAUGUGGCUCCAAGCAGAAGAUUUCAGAUGGUGAAGUACUUUAAUGAAAAUACACUUUUGUUUUCUUGUAAAUUUGUUUUAGACCUAUAAAUUUCAGCACAGUGGAAGAAAUUGUGGUCCUAAACCUCACCCAGAAUAAAGUCAUCAUGUAAUAAU